GCUUCUUCCUAGCGAUCGGGCGGUCCUCCCUCUUCCUGUUCACCGCCGGUUCGCCCACUGCUGCUUUCAUAGAUGUCGUGCGAAGGGACAGAGCUAAUGGAUGCCUAUUCCGUUCUCCUGCUCCUGCUCCAGCUCAAGAGUUCAAACGGACAGAGGAGAGUCCUGCUACCGAAAAAAAAGUGCAUAAUAUUGGAUUCAAACAAAGGGGAUUUAUUCACGAAUACGAUUUCUAUUGAUUGAAAGCUUUCCUAUUACUGAU
rnacentral:sRNA from 1 species